AGUUAACGUUCAAUUUUUGAAGUUUCUCUAGCUUUUUUGUUGGGUGAAAUCAGUAUAAGGAGCUCUUUCUUCUUUAAAAAUUAGUAGGAAUUAAAAAACUUUGAUUUAAAACCAGGAUUAGAUACCCUGUUAUUCUCAGUUAUUCUUAAACAGGGUAGUAAAAGUUGUUCUUCAAACCCAAAGAUUUUGGCGGCACUUUAUCCAAAUAGAGGAGCUUGUCCCUUAAUCGAUAGUCCUCGUUUUAUCUUUCCUUCAUUUGUAAAGCUUGUAUACCGCCGUUGUCAGAUUACUUUUAGAGAAUGUUUUCAAGUUAAAAGACUUUAUAACUUCAGGUCAAGGUGCAGUUUAUAUGGGGGUGGAGGUGAGCUACAGUUUCCUUUAGAAAAUACGGAUUCUAAGCUUUGAAGCUAGCUGAAGGUGGAUUUACUAGUAAAGAAAUUUAAGUAAA
rnacentral:rRNA from 1 species